UUGGUUAUGCAUUUUUGCUAGCAGUGAACAAGAGCUGCAUGCCAUGCAGCUGCACCAGCAGAGCUGACCCACAGUUCACAGCUGCUAUGAUGGUGUCAUGGCUGGGAAAAUGUUGCCCAUACAGUCCUAUUUUCACUGAUCUGAAAAGAUGGAAUUCAGAAGGUGCCAAAUAUGGACUAUAUGGUAGGCAUGGUUGGCACUGUGCUCCGUGGUCUGCAAAUUGGGGCCUGGUGCUAUGGUGUUGCAAGAGAAAGACUUUCUUCUUCUCUUGCCUGACUCUGGAAGGUUGGACCUUCAGCUUAGUUAGUGUCACAAUAAAGUAGUCAGAUGUGAUGGUAUGUCCACUUUCCACAAAAUGCAGAAGGAUCCCACUUUUCCUAUCCCAAAGGACAUUUUACCUACUGAGAGCUGUAUCUUGAAAAUUUUCUUUGAUGGCAAAUUCACGUCACCAACAUAAUAGAAUAAGAGCCAUUACCUUCUGAACAAACCUCAUCUGCAGUAGGAAGAAAAUUGUCAGGUUAUUUGAUUAAAGACAAAUGAUAACAAUAAGCACAGAUCAGGAGAGGAUCAGAGGAACAAGUGAAGGAGCUCAAGAAGCUUUGAUAAUCAGUGAAAACGGAGCAGACUGAACUGCUUGCUCUUAAGGUGUCUAGAAGAAGGACUAAAGCUGGAGAAACAAGAGUGAAAAUUACUUUCCUGACCAAUCUCUGAACUUGUUUGCUGCAGCUUGUUCUCUGAACUUACCAAAGUCCAAUUCUGACUGUGAUUUGUAUGGGUAUUCUCUAAAUAGGACAACUUGGUUAGGGAUGGAGCCAUGGCAAACUGGCUCUCUGGGAAUGGGAUGGUAGAAGCUUCACUCUAUGUCCCAAAACCCAGUAAGUCCUCAACCUCAAACUGAAGUACUCAGCAGAAGCCAUGCAGAGGGCAAAUGACAGGAAUAGUCUUUAUGAUAAAGCACAUUUUCUCACUUUUUUGGGAAAGAAAGAUUUUUCUUAGAAAUGUUUGCCACAGUGGUUUCCUUUCUGAAAUUUCACAGAAUCACAGAGUCAUAGGAGCUGGAAAGAACCCCUGUAGAUUAUCUAUCUGUUCCAACCCCCUCAAGUUUGGUGGGAUGAAACAGAACUCUGAUAACUCCCUACAGCUUGGAAAGGAAAAGAAAUAAAUAUCAAGUCUUCCCUCUGGAAACUUCUGGAGGAAGCAUCCUUUGUUCAUGCUUCAUGUUGCAACAUGGUAGAUUUAGCAACUCUCCCCACAGCACUGGGUAGGGUAAAGCCCUUCAGAGAAAAGCCUUUGAGGACAUAACCUGAUUUUGGAAGAUUUCUAAUCUUUCUCUGUUUUCCUAUGCCUUGCAAUGUCAACAGUGCUCGAAGGUGUAAAAUUAAGAGCAGCGUACCCGGACAAAUAAGGUACUUCUUUGUAAUGGAUGGGAAAUCAGUUCACCCUUCUCUGUUCAGUCUGAUGUUAUGUACAGCUGUUUUCUUGCUGAGCCAAAGACAGAGGUGCUGCGUUUGGUUUUUUUUUUUUUUGCUUGUUUAUUUGUUUUUUUUUUUUUGUUUUGUUUUUGUUUUUGUUUUUUUUUUUCCAGGCUGACUUAAUUUCUCUGUGUAGUCCCCUCCCAGCUUUUUAAUAAAGAAAUUACAAGGGAGAAUCACUCCUUGAAAAAUGAUGUAUUUCAGGCUGAAUGGCUUUAUUAACUGUGAGACAGCCUCUCUGAAACCAUGCUGUUAUGUCUGUCCCACACAUCCUGAGUAAGUACUUGCCUCUGCAAUUGAAGUUUACUGAAAGGUUUAUGUGAGAAUUUGCACUGUGAUUUCUGUCAAGUUUAAUGGUGUUUAAAAUAUAACCAUUCCAAAACCAAGACACUGCUCAAUGAUUUUUGUGCUUAGGGUUUCUGUUUAAUUCUUAUCAACAGAAGUACCUGGAAUUGCUUUGUCUAUCUUUUAUGUCAUCAACUUUAAUACCAGCAAGUUGAAAAUGCUGCAGACCUGAAGAACUGCUAAAAUCCAUGUAAUAUCCUGUAAAUGUCUGGUUCAAGCUCUGCAAAGGGACUUGGAAAAUUCAAGUCAACUCUCUUCUGAUAAAAAGCUGAGUAUGACCACAUGUGCUACUUGUGGGCUUCAGAGACUUCAGAGGGCUCCAACUUGUAUUGCCAAAAGAAACAGACAUGAAGCUAGUUCUAUGCAAAACAAACAAUUUUUGAGUUUUUUGAGAUUCUGAUUGUGAGCUCCACAUUCUUCAGACAGAGCUUCUCUAUGUAAAUAUCUAGGUGCAAAUUAUAGAUUCAAAGCCAUGACUAAUUUUAAAGGAGAAUCUAAGCUACAGUCCUGAAUUCUCCAAUUACAAAGAAAAUCAUUUCAAAUAUGCUGAACAUGGUUCAGCUCCUAUAAAUAGUAGCAAUCUACAGCUCUGAAAAUCUAUAGCUUCUGUACACAGCCCCACAGUUCUUUCCUCUGAUCUGUCUGUUUUUCAGACAGAAAAAUUAAACUGUAUUUAGGAGAACACCACCACAUAUGCAUCCUGCAAUAGCCUACAAUUGUAAACUAUGGGAUCCUUUUUCUUGUAACACUCUAAGCCAGACCUGAUACCUGUUUGAAGCCCUGGAGCACUUUGUCAGUCUUGGCUGGAUAGUCCAACCACACCCAGCAUGUACUCCAGAUUCGUUGUCUUCUGACUUUCAGGGCUAACAGAAAGUAGGCGACACUGAAAAACAGUGUUCUGUAACUGAGUGUGUGCUCUAUCAAUUAGUGUUACUGUGCUCUUUGUAUCUGUUGUAGUUUCCAUGGAAAUAGACAGGAGGCAUUACUUUCAGAGAGACUUAUGUGUAUAUAAGAUUUUGACGUAACACAGCCUGAUCAUCCUUCCUGACCCUUCCUACACCUAACAAAUUUUCUACAUAGAUAAUGCUGAAACAAUUGUUUUGGAGUGACUUGAGGGGCUUCAUCUUGCUAACAAAGUCCAAUCAUCAUCUUGUACUUGUUGAAUGCUGCCCUGGUUGACUUUUGUGUUUCAUGACUGUUAGAAUUCUCUUUUGUUGUUGUUGUUGUUGUUACAAUUUGUGUUGCCAUCUUUGAUUCUUUUUCUCUUUACUAUCUUUUCUCCAGUGGAAAUUUAAAUGGUAAAUACUGAGGAUCAUUGGAUAUAGACACACUGGGUCUAAUAUUUGUUCUUAGCUAAGCUGUAGACAAGCAACUUUAAACCUAGUGUUCAGGACAUCUCAGUCCUGAGAAGGCUGCUUUAUUUCUUCCCUUGAUCACAUGCCAGGUUUUCAUAGCAGUGUGUUUCCUUUAUUUCUCUUUGGAAUCAUCAGAGGAGACAAAAUGGAGAAUGAUUUGUAGCCACAGUGUUCAUCUCUCUAACCAAGGUAGAAGCUUCCACCAUUGGUACCUCAUGUACAGUGUGCAAGCAACUAGUGACCCAGGAGGUACACCUUAACAGAUCUUUGAAAUCAUGAUAACACACACUAUUCCUCGAAUAUGAUUUUCAAAUAAAAACAUGUGGUAUUAAUAUGUGAUGUUCCAGGAGAUGUGCUGAACGCUGAUACUGAUUGGAAGCUCUGGUGAAGCCACCAGUGCAUCAGCACGAACUGUGGGCUAUUAUGCACAUGAGAAACAUUCAUUUGCAAUCCUUUCUCUAGCCUAAUUCAGAAGACAUUUAAGAUGUGUGGAAAGAGCCACGUGAAAUUCUUUCCAAAAGUCAUUUUAGUUAGAAAAUUAUGUAUUUUAUAAUUUUCCAUUGGAAACACCAAGUUUCAAAAAUAUUUAUGUUUUGUUCCUUGCAGAUAUUCAGGCUGUGUGUGUGUGUGUGUGCACUUCAUAUUUGUAUGCACAUUUUUUUUUUCCAGUCUAUAAAAUAUUUCAGGAGUGGGAAAACAGACUGCUAUUAAAAAACAUCCACCUAAGAGGCCUAAAGUAAAAUUAAGAAAAAGAACCCUAAAGCUUGAAUCUUUUAAAAAUGAAUGAAAUUGUUUGUAAAAACUUUUACUUUGCUUUUCCUUAUUUUUAGUCUACAGCAGUUUUGAAUUAAGUUUAUUCUGUUUAUCUUGAAUAGUAAACAUGGGAUCAUAACAGCUGAAAAAAAGAAUAAUAAUAAUAAUCAAACCCUAAGCAAAUCUGAUGGCUAAUAUGAUUAGAUCUACAAAGCUGUAUCUACAAGCUCUGUGUCUUUCCAACAUGCAGUGAUUUCAGAGUCUGGAUUAAUUUUAUCCAUUUCUGUACCUUUUUGGUAUUUAGCCAUGCUGUUUGUAGCAGGGCGGUUUCCAUCUCACAGUGUUGUUGCUAUAUACACUUCGGAUGUUGAUAACACAGUCUUGCUUCCUGGAUGGUCUGCUUUCUCUUUUAUUCUGAUUUAAUUACAGACUGUGACUGUGUACAUUCACUGGAUGGUUAUGUCAAAAACCACAGAGCUCUGAGCCUCCCUUGCUCGUCUCAGAUUGAAACAAAUUGUUUUCCAAGUUUACCGGUUGAGGUGGAGUUGUUGGUUGUAUGCCUUAAUUUGCAGUUAUCUUCUUUUCAGGUGCUCAGCUCCGAGCAGGUGUGAGGAGACACUGCAUCAGUGUAUCCGUGCAACACAUCAGCAGAAGGGCUGGAAGGCUUCUGCUGGUGUGUGGGAGCCACGCAAAAUGUGACAUUUCCCUCUUGGGAAAGAAAGAAAGAAAAAAAGAAAAGGAAAAAAAAAGAGGCGAGGGGGGUAAAUCAAUAUAUAGGUAUUAAUGUGCAUGUGUGAAGAUUCAAAACAGAUGGGGAAAAGGCCAAGGAUUCUUUGUUGCUAAGUGCGUUUCUAUGACAACUGCAAUAUGUACGUUAUGCGUGAGCAAUCAUUUGUUCCAGCUGCUAGAUCAUUAAAGGGCCAGCACUUCCCUGAGCACUGGGAAUGUUAUUUAUGGCUUAUUUACUUUUUCUUUACCCCUCUUUAAGCUCAGGUUCAACAGAUAUUGAAAUAAGAGGACAAAGGCUUUCUCAACACAGCAUGCAAACCUGGGCCAAAAAGCACCAAGUUUUUUAUUCACAGGAAUCAGAUUUGUGGAUCUGGAUUAGUUCUGGAACAGAGAUACAAUCCUGGAACCUCAAUACAGAUCAACAUCUGUUGCUAGUGACAUUGAAGCUCAUGUUGCGUAUUGGCUGGUGAAAGAGAACAAAGCGAAGUGUCUGCUCUACGUUCUGGAUCCUGUCCAUCUUGCUUCACCAUAUGGAGUGAUAAUGGGCUCUGCUAUUCAGAUCUUAUUUUGUUCUUUGAGAAAUAUGUAAAGGAUGGUAUUUAUUAAAUUCAGUGGAAAGUGUCAAGAACAAGGCUAAGUAUUCUGCAAACUGAGCUUCCUUCAGUGCCUGAACAUCUCUGUAGCUGACUUUCUGGAAGAUUAGGCUCAGCAGCUGUCUGCAUCACACAGUUCUUUAUCCCACAGUUUAAGCUUUUCACAGCCAGCCAAACCAUAAGUUUCUUCAUACUGCCUUGUAAUUUUGCUUGGUAAAAGAAAAGUUUAUUUCCCAUUUUCCAGACACAGCCUGGUGAAUUAUUAAUUAGGUCAAUGGUUUCAGCUUGGGGUCUGGGCUGAUAGAUAUAGAGGUCUAGACUCACAUCUGUUCCAAACUGGGGACAGACAGCACAAUUUAACAGCUUAUGGUUAGAAUGAAAAGUCACAAGGGUUGUUCCUGUACUGGAUCACUUGCAUUUGUAGAAUAAUAACUAGGAGACUUGGGAAAAAUAAAUUUGAUGGUAAGCAUGUCUGCUGAUGGAGCAGCUGAAGGAGAACAAAAACAACUUGUGCAAAAUGUGGAGAUGAGAUGAAAGCCCAUGCACUAAUAUUUCAGUGCAUCUCAGAUUAACUAUCUCAGGUUAGCAGAAUAUUGUGUUUUCCUGAAAAUGGUCAUUUCUGGAGUCUUGAAAGUCAGCUGUAGUUCCUGAGUUUCAGAAUGUAUUGUCAGGAAAAAAAAAAAAAAAAAAGCGUCCUCAUUGAGGUACGUUUUUACUCAGGUAUAUGCAAAAAGCUAAGCUGCAGUCUUAUUACUUUUGCCAUUUAUUCCUCAACCUCGAGUACACUAUGUGGCCCAGCCCUGUAAAAGAGACCAACCAUGUCUCACUUUGAAGCUACUGUAUUUAGUGGUCUUGGAAGCACUCACAAUUCUCCUUUUACAUACAUCAAUCUCAUCAAACUUUGACUAGAAUAUGCAAAAAUGUUACUCUUACUAUAUAAUCCAACUUCCUUAUAAGUAGUAAUCUUCUUCACCACUUUGUGCAUCAAAAUGGUGAAGAAUUGAUCUUUCUGUGUCAUUGAGUAAAAACUCACAUUUAUUACAUUCUCUGUGUAGACACAUUCGAGCUAGCUGGAUAUGAGUUGCAUGGACCAAGUCUACUCAUACUUCUGUAGGACAGUGCCCAAGCUGAUAAGCCUUAUUUCACAUAGGUAGGCCAGGGCAAUGGGGAUAACCUCUGAAGUUAUAUUCCUAAUGGCAAGUUAAAGCUUAGUAAAAUCUCCAUUUUCAUUCUUUUACUGAACACUUACUUUUUUACCAGUUCUGAAAAUGGAGAAAAUCACCACUGAGAACUGCUGAUGUUCCCACAAACUCUCCUUUCCCAUCACAUCUUUUGGGGACAAAGCAGCUUCUUAUUAUUUGUCAGCCUGACCACAUGUGAGGUGUAAGACUGUUAACAUUAACAUAACUGUAUUCUUCUCUAUUUCCUGACUUUCUACAGACGUUUAAGAGUCUGCAUUUGCCAAGGAGUGGAAUAGAUACCCAGGUCUUUUGUUGUUCUCAUUGUUCUUAGCUUCCUCCUCUCUUCCCAGUCAGUUAGGGAUUUAGGCUCUGAGCUUCCCAUUCAUCAGUUACACUCAAAGUCUUUUGUUUGAAUAUAAGCAUACGCUGCACCACAUUGCAGGUGUGAUAUUUCUCACAGAUGAAUACAUUUGCAAGUCCUUUUGGAGAAAAGAAAUAAAAGAUAGUAAAAUUUGUUUUCAUUUACACAACUACUAGCUAUUUACAAGACCAUUAACUACAAAGAGAGCAGAAAAAUGAAGUACUAGUUAGAAUAAUAAUCAACAUCUCUGAGAGUAGAACAGAGUACAGUGUCUACAAAUGUAAAUAUUAAUAGGACUUUGCAAGAAAAAACUUUUGUUUUGCAAGUUAUAUGCUGAAAAAUGAGUAUUCAGACCACCACCACCACAAAAAAAACCAAAAACAAACAAAAAACACAAGUACAUUAAUUAUAAAAAUGUUCUAAAUUUUUGUAUUAAUUAUUUCUUUUCCCCCUUCUUACCCUCUGAAAACCUCCAUGAAUCAGAUAGAAAGAUCCAAUAGAAGUCAAAGCCAAAAGAACCAAUCUACCAAACCAAGCAAUGAAUGAGAUCUAUCAGAGUAGGAAGCUGUGUUUGAAACACUGACAGACAGCCUUGCUGUUGGAAAAAAGUGCCCAGCAGUGGGUGCAGGUAUACAGAGAGUAAUAUCAAGCUCCCAAAAUCUUAGGCAGUUCUUCAGAAAGCCCCCAGAGCAAGCUGCCUAAGGAUUGCACUGACAGCUUAGGAAAUUGCAAGAUGUCAACUCAGCUGACAGGUAGCCUCAGGCAGCAAGCACAAUUUAAAUGUCAUAAACACUGCUCAUGCUAUUUGGCCUUAAUCAGUUUUUGUUCAUUUUUUAAGAAGAGAAAUAUCAAAGUUGAAGAGAUUUGCAAUAUUUAUUUUGUUAAUUGCUUAAAAAUUUUGCUGGUGUUUAGCCCCAGGGUGUAACUUUUAUGAUUUAUUGUGUAUCAUAGUUGUGAAAUACUUUUCUUAAAUUGAAUAAUUUCAAAAUAGCUCUCUAAUGGCAGGAUGAUUUCAUUGCAAUCUGUAAUAAAACUCUCCUUAAUUCAAGGGAAUUGAUAAGCAAACACUCUGUGGGUUUCUGAUAGUUUUUUUGAAUAAUAAUUUAAUUAUACUUCCAAGCUUGUCUUUUUUAAAAAAAUAUAUAAUAUAUUGUUUUGUGAAGCCCAAGUAAAAUUUCUGUGUUUUAGGACUGCUGUCAGAGAAUUCAAGUAGGCAUAAACUCAAAACAGCAGGCAGGAAAAAAUCCCUAUGAAAUUAAGGAUGAAAUCUUACUUUUCAAAAUUAAAAACUGAAUUUAUUUACAUCUAAGUCACUAAUAAUUUUUCCAUUAAUCCAACUAAUGUUUGUUUGAUUGAUUGUUUUUUCCCAAGACAUACUACAAGUAACUGCAGACCUCUGUGCUAGAAUGUAUUAGAAAAAGUACAGGCUGUCAUACUUAUUAACCAUUUAGUCCAUGGGUGUCCAACCAUUUGGCUCUCCUGGACUGCACUGAGUGAAGAGGAAUUGUCUUGGGCCACAUAUAUGUAGGUUACUCUGAAAGUAAUGCCUCUUAUUUAUUUCCAUGUAAAUGAUGACAGAUGCAAAGAGCACAAUAACACAGCUUGAUUGAGGAAAUUCUCAGCUACAAAACACUAUUUUCCUACAUAACCUUAACCAUGAUCUAUACAUUCUUGCCAGCAACGAGCAAGAGCCUGGCUUGUAAAAAUCUGUACCAGCAGAGGUGACCCACUGUUGCUGUUGUCACUGCUGAAGCACACAGCUCACUGCCUCACAUCACUCACAUCCACUGUUUGGUCUCCUCAGAUGUUCAGCAAGAGUUGAUGAAUGUCACUGGGUGCAAUUUUUUCCACAUGGAGGAAUUAAAUGCCACACCUUUGAUUCAUUAACACUUUCAUGUCAUGAAAGAACUUGGAAGCAAGAGCGUGAGUUUCAGGAUCAUAGAAAAUUAUAAUGAAUAAAUAGAAUGCUAAUUGAAUGAGAUACCACCAACCUGGAAGGAAGAUAUUACAAGGAAGCACUAAGUCUCUUAAAAAGGCCCAAGAACUACCUUUGUUUUCAUAUACGUAUGUAACAGCUCAUAGUUUUAACUCAUAUGUGUUGAAAACAGUAUUUCUUUAAGAGUGAUGAAAGAAUGGAAAAAAUAUCCAUGAGUGUCAUUACAAUAUUGGAUACCCAAGCUGCUGGGGCACAGCUUAAUGUGUAGAAUAUAAAGAUGAUGCUAACGAGUCUUGGCAGUAAAGCAGAUUUGUCAAGCAAAUGUGAUGAUUUUGAUAAUUAUAUAUUUUUUUUCAAUUUGUAUCAGAAUGUUGCAAUGGAUUUUAUAGUUUGUAAGGCUAUAUGCUGAUAUUAAGAGUGCACAUGCAAAUCAAUAUUAAUGGAAGUAAUGAUUUUCUAUGUUUAAUAUGUCAAUAUAAUAUGGUUUCUUCACUGACAAGUAAUACACAUUCCAGAGUCACUGGUAAGAUGGUAUUAAGCCACAUAGCUCACCAUCUGACUGUCAGGAGAGCAAACACUCCAUUAACUGCUGCUUAAAUAUCUUCAACAUGUUUAAAGAGAUAGCUUAUUAACCAUCCAGCAUCUUUCUACUUUCAAUAUAGAACAGGAGCUAAUGACUUCUCAAGUGUCAGUUGCUGAAAUCUUGAAGAUUUAAUGGGAUGUAUGCUACAUAAUUUUUAGAAGGUUUGAUAAAUUCAGGGGAAAUGGCUAUUCCUGGAGUUGUGUUUCUGUGAUAACCAGGAUACAGGCUGUUACCCACUGGCAGGAGGUGGUCUAUCACUGCCAACGUGACCAGCAGUUUCAAUAAGUGGAAUUACACUAAGACAAUGGGAAGAGAUUUCACAAGAAAACAUGUUUGUAAAAAUGCUAAGCUCAGACUUGAUCAACCUUUUGUUAAUGUGAUUAAACCAAGAGUAAGAAAGUAGUCAGAGAUAUUCAAAUGUGAAGAAAACUCUAGGAGAGUGUGGGACAGAAGGUUAAGAAUUAUAACAGCUUAAGUGGUAAACAGGUCCUUGAGAGGGAGGGGGAAAGGGUAGAAAAUGCAUGUUCUUGACUUAAUAGGCAUUUUGAUUCCUUGAAAAAUUAUAUCAUAUCUCUUUAUAACUUUGUAUGUGUAAAAGCAUGGUUCCCACAUGCUAACACUCAGUAUUUGAGUAUUAGCAACCUUGUCUUCUGGAGUACUAUCAGCCUGCAACUGCAUUUAAAACCAACUCUAAAAUGAAUAUCUUGAGUGAUCAGAGAUUUCACUGUGUGAAUCACAUAAACACAGAAUGUGAAGGAGAACAGAAGUCACUUGUGGGGCAAUCCCGUCUCUUAAGUUAUAGCAUGUUUUCCAUCUCUUUUUUCUCACUCCUUAAUAACACUCCAGGGUGAAAUCCUACCCUUUCGGAAGCUAUUGGGAGUUUUCUCUUCCACGCCACUCAGACAGAAUUCAUCCUUCAUGCUCUGUAUUGCCUUUUGAUGAAUAGGCUUCCUUCCUUCCAAUUUUAUCACAGCAGAAUCUAUGCAUUAAAUUCUGUCAACUUAAUCACAAAUAAAAGACGGUUUAAUGUUUUAUACUGUGGGUUUGAUGUAAGGAACUUCCAGAUGAUGUUUGUGCUCUUUUCCUGAAUUUAAAAUGAAAAAGCAGAUAAGAUGGCUGUGCUACUUGGGGUUGAAUGUUCACAACCAGAUUCUUAAUUACAAUAAGAUUCUUUGCAAAUGUGUCUAAAAGACAACAUCUGUUAGUGUGAAGGAAAUUGACUAUCUCUUUUUUAAGAUAAAUUUGAACUUUGUCCCUGGUUCCACUGGCAUUAUGGGGAAGUCUAAGAAUUUAAUUAUAGGUCUGUUAAUUUCUGCAUGACCUUUUACUAUUUCAUUUCUACCCAGAUAAAUAAAUAAAUAAAUAUUAGAACCCUAAAAUUACAAAUCAGAGUAAGUAUUUGUGUUUCUAUUAUCCAAAUGAAUGCUUUUUCACUGAUGGUUCAGUAACCCUUAUACUAGGUAGCCCAUUAUAUUGAUGUAUGUAAGAAUGCUUGUGUGAGUGAAGCCUCUUUAUAGAAGAUUGAAGCUCUGAACUGUUAUCUAUGUAAAUAGUUUGUUGCCAACAUUCACAGUUUUAUCUCGAAUAUCAAUGAUGGGUUAUUUUUAAAUGCCCUUAGUUCAUGGAUAAUGAAGUGACUUGGGAGUUUUAUCUCUUUUUAAAAAAUAAGGAAAAAAAUUGGACAGAAAGUAAAAAUUAGAGGCAAAAAAAUAUACAGUUACAAAACAAAGACAAAAGCCUGACCUGUAAAUAGGAUCUCAGAGGAAACAGAGCUGCUGAUGCAGGUUUAAUUCAAAACAAGUUACUGUUGAAUAAAGAAUGCUGGCAUAUGACUUAGUAGGUUAAAUGCUCUUAUCAGUGUUGUUUUCUAAAGGAUUAGAGUUUUAUAAUAAAGCUAGUUGGUAUCACUCAUCAAGAAGAUAAAAAAGAUAGUUGGUAUCACCCAUCAAGAAGUCCCAUUGUACCACAGAUACAAGGGAAUAAGCUUAAGGGGUUUUAGGGGUUUUUUAUGCCUUUUUUUUUUCAACUCCUGUUGUAACUGAUCAUGCUAUACUCAUCAUUAUUGUCCUGCAAUCUCUCUCUCAAUCUCUCUCUUUUUUUUUUUUUUUUAAUUAUUAUUUUUUCUUUUUUCCUGGGUUUUGGUUUUUAUUUUCUUCUGAUUUUUUUAGUUGGCAAUUUUGUAAUACUUUUAGAGUUUAUUCAACUGAAACAAAUGUGAGCAUAGCCUUGGAUUAUUUUUUCAAUAGAAGAUAUCAUUACUAUGUGUUAAGAAGUAUACAGAAGAAUUGAGGUACCCAUCUAUUUCAUUUCUGCUGUGUACAUAAGCUGCUAAGUGCGAAAAUGUUGCUCUUGUUAUUGCUUGCUUUAGUAGGAAGCACAGUCAGCUUCCAUUAACCCAUUAAAUAGGCUGAUGGCUGAAUCUGAUGCCUGCAGAACUCUUCAAAGAACAACUAGCAGUUUAUUGCUGUACUAAUACAAGCAAACAGAUAACACCUUUUAUGAUUUCAGAUACAGCUAAAAGGCACAAUUAACCGUGUCUUCUUUAAGUGUCUGCCCCAACCCUGACCUGAAGGAAUAGCUUAGGACUUUGUUUUGUACUGAAUGCUGUUUAAUAACUGAGGCAUUGCUAACACAGUGAGAUGCCAAGUGUGAAGGUAUUGUCAUCUUACUUACUGCCCAUUCCUGAUUUUUAAGAAACAUAAUCUAGAAAUAUUUUCCUAUAAUAAACCCAACAAAUAUUUUACUGCUCUUGCCAUCUGCAGAUUUUGUUAUUGUUUUAUUACAGCAUUGUAGAGAUAAGUUGAUCUUUCUAUCAACAUGAACAGAAAUGCAAAGUAGUUUGAAAUAUGAAUGUAACUCAUUCUACUGCAUGUGCUAGAUACACAGACCUUUGGAAAAGCUGGCACAAAAAGACAGCUGCCCUUUGGAAUGAAAUGUUACCAACAGUUUCAUGUUGGUACUGGCAAAAGUGUACCAGAAAAGAGACGAUGAGCAAAAAGGCACAUUAAAAGGGGGAGUCACUGAUGUGACAAUCUGUCAACUGGGAAAGCAAGGACAGUUCUCUGCAAUGUUAGCCAACUGAUUUAGCUAGUUUUAUCUCACUCAUUUAACUUCCAUGAGCCAUCUAUCAUGAGACUUAACUACAGAUUUAAAAAGAUAUGUAUAGACGUCUAUAUGUAGAGCUCCUCUUAUGGUCAAUAGAGAUUUAGGGUUUAGAUUUUCCCACAUCCAGAGCUAACUGAAAUGUCUUCGAGUGUUGUCUACCUGAUUUUAAAGUAUUACUCAGAAAUGGUCCUAUGUGGUUAGCUGCCAUUCACUACAAAUAUUUCAUGUAUCAUAGGGCCUCUUAAAUUACAGCAGAGUCUGCAUAUAGGUAAAUAAAACCUGACUCCAGUGACUAGCUUGCAGAAUAUCUCACGUUCCAUUGACUUGACUCAUCAGAUCUCCAUUGAACUGGGAACAUCUGGAUUUAGCUGUAUGAAACUUGAAAAGCUCAUGCAGAUUAGAAUAAAUUUAUUAAAAACAAAAGAUUGGGAAGUCAUUAGCAUCUUAGCAUUAAAGAAAAAUAAUUUUGAAAAAUGAAAUGUGUUUUUUAUUGUUUCAUAAACCAAGAUAUAUUUGAUAAAUUUAAUUUCUCAGGUGAAUUUUAGCCUCUGAGAAUCAUUGCUGGAGACAUUAUGACAAUAAUUAUACUCUGUAGAGAACUGCUUUUGUCUUCUUUAUAAAAUGACAGCAUAAGUUUACACUUUCACUGUUUGAGAAGCAGCCCUGAGGCCUAGUUUACCAGCUGUCUUCACUGCCUACAGAAACUUGGGUUGUACUGGUUAUCUUCCAGAUGACCACCUGGCGCAAGUAGAAGAAAAGCCUUUAAUUUUCCCACUGAGUUGGACUGCUCCCUAGUGUACAGUAAUUUGCAGAAUGAAUGAAGUUGAAAAAUUUAAGAUUAUCAAAGACUGUUAGUUCCCUAAAUCCCUGCAUUUGAGAAUCUGUUUCCAUACCAGAUGAAGAGAUGAUGGAGGGGAAGGAAUUAAUUCUGAGUCUCAAGCUACUUUUUAUUUCUUUGUUUUUAACUGAGAGUAGACCCAUAAGAGAACUGCAACACUUACUAUGUAUAUUCCCCUUUCGUAGAUAAUUCACCAUCACAGCUAACCACUAAUGAAUGGUUUGUGUCUAUGAGAGAUGACACAAAGCAUAAAGAAUUCUCUGUUUAACAGUAAUACUGAUCAAAAUGUUAAAAGCUUAUUCACUAUGAUGUGUCAAACCCUGAAAAUAAUUGGCGUAUGUGAUGAGAAAGCCACAGAACUGUGGUUGCCUGGGUGAUUUCAGUGUCAACUAUGACCACGUCUGUAGAGUUGAAAUGACUUUUCUUUAAAGACAGAUGACAAUUUGCCAUAGUCUCUUGACACAAAGAUACAGAUUGGUAUGAGAAUGUCAAGGAUGCUAAAAUGACUGUAAGAAUUUGGAUUGACAAAGAACAAGAAAAGAUUGUGUGCAGGUCCUCACCUGCUUGAACCAUCAGGAAGAAAAAAAAGAAAAAAAGAGAGAGAAAAUUAAGGAGAAAUGUUGUAACUGAAGCCUGCUAAGUUCAGAAUACCGGAGAAUGGGGCUCAGUGGAGAUACUGAAAGUCAAGAAAAAAUGCGUGCAAUGAAGGGGAAGACAAGGAAGAUAUGUACUUGACAGAAAUCCUUCUGUGGAUGCUGUGGCUGGUGCUGCUUAUAUGUCAUACACAGUGUCCUGGCAUUCUGAGAAAUAAAUUCUUCAAAAUGUCAGAUCUGAUUCCUGGGCUUGAAAUGAUAUGCUGAGUGAAACCAAGAAUUAACUGUUCGAAGAAAUAUUUAAUGGCUCUUUGUUGCUGCACUGCUUGACAUGAGCAAUAGCCAAACCUUUUCCUCAUAAAGAAAAUCAGUGGUGUAGAGAUCAACCCUCAUGAAAUAAUUGACACAUUUGCAAAGUUAAAGGAAUGCAACUCUUCGAUCUUGAUCCCACUACCAUCCAGAAGGCAGCAAAAAGUCAAGUUGUGGACUGUACUGUCUAGCCUGAGAAGUGCUUGAUUUGCAUUCUUAUCCAUUUUGGAAUAAUUAUUCCUGUUGGAAUUCU